CCCAGAACCCUCCUGUAGGGCGUGACUAGUCUUAACCUCCAUCUUUAGGCCCACCCCCAGAAAUGUUAAUGGUGUUAGCUGGCCUUCAAGGUCAGAGGGGAAACCCGAAUCAGACCUGCAUCCUUAUAGCAGUUGCUGAGGGCUGCCUGCCGGGAGCUCAGCGGGGCCUCUCAACAGGUGAUGUGACCUUACCUAUCCUCAACGCAGCUGCCUGGAUUUGCUCACAGCAUCUUAGCAGCCGACCUUGGCCCUGAAAGCCGGAAGUUGCAGGUCCCCUAAACCAGCCAUGGAGAAUAAAAAAAGCGUAAUAACAGGUGCAGUAUGAGGCUCCACCCACUCGCCCAUAAUGCAUCAAAUCCACCCAGAACACAGUCGGUUGCCUGGCGGAGCACACAGGAUGGUAAGAAGAAUCAGGGCUCUCUCACAAAGGCGGUCACCACCUGCAGAUGCUGACAAUCACUCGCUCUUGUCGGAAGUCCAUGAAGCCUCUGCAGCUAACGUACAUCUCCUUUCUUACCUAUGACUCCAUAUUCUGGCUCAUAAAUAAACCACCACUAGCGCA